UACGUAGGGGGCAAGCGUUGUCCGGAUUUAUUGGGCGUAAAGAGCGUGUAGGCGGCCAAGCAGGUCCGCUGUGAAAACUCGAGGCUCAACCUCGAGACGUCGGUGGAAACCGUUUGGCUAGAGUCCGGAAGAGGAGAGUGGAAUUCCUGGUGUAGCGGUGAAAUGCGCAGAUAUCAGGAAGAACACCAAUGGCGAAGGCAGCUCUCUGGGACGGUACUGACGCUGAGACGCGAAAGCGUGGGGAGCGAACAGG
rnacentral:rRNA from 1 species